UCGAACGAGUGUAGCAAUACAUUCGUGGCGAACGGGUGCGUAACACGUGGAUAACCUUCCUUGAAGUGGGGAAUAACCCAGUGAAAAUUGGGAUAAUACCGCAUAACAUGACGACGGCACAUGCUGUUGUCUUCAAAGGCGCAAGUCGCUACAAGAGGGAUCCGCGGCCGAUUAGCUAGUUGGCGAGGUAACGGCUCACCAAGGCAAUGAUCGGUAGCCGGUCUGAGAGGAUGGCCGGCCACACUGGAACUGAGACACGGUCCAGACUCCUACGGGAGGCAGCAGUGGGGAAUCUUGCACAAUGGGCGAAAGCCUGAUGCAGCAACGCCGCGUGGGGGAUGAAGCUUCUCGGAGUGUAAACCCCUUUCGACCCGGACGAAUGCCCGCAAGGGCUUGACGGUACGGGUAUAAGAAGCCCCGGCUAACUACGUGCCAGCAGCCGCGGUAAGACGUAGGGGGCCAGCGUUGCUCGGAAUUACUGGGCGUAAAGGGUCCGUANGCGGUGCGGUAAGUUGGGAGUGAAAUCUCUGGGCUUAACUCAGAGGCUGCUUCCAAAACUACCGUGCU
rnacentral:rRNA from 1 species